GACGAACGCUGGCGGCGUGCUUAACACAUGCAAGUCGAACGGAAAGGCCCUGCUUGCAGGGUGCUCGAGUGGCGAACGGGUGAGUAACACGUGGGUGAUCUGCCCCUUACUUUGGGAUAAGCCUGGGAAACUGGGUCUAAUACUGGAUAGGACCAUGCUGUAGGUGGUGUGGUGGAAAGAUUAGUUUCGGUAAGGGAUGAGCUCGCGGCCUAUCAGCUUGUUGGUGGGGUAAUGGCCUACCAAGGCGUCGACGGGUAGCCGGCCUGAGAGGGUGGACGGCCACAUUGGGACUGAGAUACGGCCCAGACUCCUACGGGAGGCAGCAGUGGGGAAUAUUGCACAAUGGGCGCAAGCCUGAUGCAGCGACGCCGCGUGGGGGAUGACGGCCUUCGGGUUGUAAACUCCUUUCAGCCAUGACGAAGCCCUUGUGGUGACGGUAGUUGUAGAAGAAGCACCGGCUAACUACGUG
rnacentral:rRNA from 1 species